rnacentral:misc_RNA from 1 species
GAAAUGCGAUAAGUAAUGUGAAUUGCAGAAUUCAGUGAAUCAUCGAAUCUUUGAACGCACCUUGCACUCUCUGGUAUUCCGGAGAGUACGCCUGUUUGAGUGUCAUGAAACUCUCACUCCCUACCUUUUCUUAAUUGAGAAGGAAGGGACGUGGACUUGGACUCUGCUGGUCUUUAUGAUCGGCUUGUCUGAAAUGAAUUAGCUGGAUCCUCUUUGUAAUUGGUUCUACUCGACGUGAUAAGUAUUUCGUCGAGGACAGUCUUAACGGACUGGCCGAGAGAAGAAGAGUCUUUUAGAUCCGCUUCUAAUCCGUACGACUUUUGUCUACACUUUUUAUGAUCUGGCCUCAAAUCAGGUGGGACUACCCGCUGAACUUAA